AUUGAACGCUGGCGGUAGGCCUAACACAUGCAAGUCGAGCGGAUGAAGGGAGCUUGCUCCUGGAUUCAGCGGCGGACGGGUGAGUAAUGCCUAGGAAUCUGCCUGGUAGUGGGGGAUAACGUCCGGAAACGGGCGCUAAUACCGCAUACGUCCUGAGGGAGAAAGUGGGGGAUCUUCGGACCUCACGCUAUCAGAUGAGCCUAGGUCGGAUUAGCUAGUUGGUGGGGUAAAGGCCUACCAAGGCGACGAUCCGUAACUGGUCUGAGAGGAUGAUCAGUCACACUGGAACUGAGACACGGUCCAGACUCCUACGGGAGGCAGCAGUGGGGAAUAUUGGACAAUGGGCGAAAGCCUGAUCCAGCCAUGCCGCGUGUGUGAAGAAGGUCUUCGGAUUGUAAAGCACUUUAAGUUGGGAGGAAGGGCAGUAAGUUAAUACCUUGCUGUUCUGACGUUACCAACAGAAUAAGCACCGGCUAACUUCGUG
rnacentral:rRNA from 1 species